rnacentral:lncRNA from 1 species
ACUCAAUUGUGAGCCUCUCUCCUAAUUGUGUCUCACAGAUGCAUAGUGAGGAGGUUAUUCAGCUUGUAUUUACAUCAUUACCCAUCUACCAUCAGAGUGUAUUGCUAACUGGUUCUCCUUACAAAUGCUUGUUGUGUUUGUUUUGUGUUUUUAAUUUUAUGUUCCACUGCUUGUCUACUUUUUCAUUGUUUUUAAUCCAAACUUCUACUUCAGCCUCUGCUCAUGAAGUCUCCCUCUCCCGAGUCCUUUGGGCUGCAAUAAUCAGACUCAAGCUGAGUGGAGACACACACUGAACAGAUGACAUGCCAGCCAAACUUGCCCCAAAAGUUGGGGAGGGAAAUGGUGCUCAACUGAAGGCAGCUGCUCUUGGGAGAGUCUUGACAGAGACCUCUGCAGCGAUAGUGCCUGGCAUCAGUGAUUGACGGGGAGCCAUCUGAUCAACUUUUGUUUCUGAAGGAAAACCCUGAGGAAACUCACUACCAUCCUCAGUGGCUGGUGGAUGGAUAAAGAGGUGGAAAGCAAGUUGUGUGUAGAGUGAGCAGAAACUAUGAAGAGCCAUGAGCAGUUCCGGGGGAGCAGCUGCGAGCAUCAUGGAAGGCCUCUGCCCUGUCGGAGAAGCCGGGAUCCUCUUCAGCUUGGACACUACAUCAGUGACACUGGCAUCUCCCCCAUGCCAGAGGGAACUGCACAAGACACUUCAUUCUCUUUAAUCUGCUCUACCCCGUCAUAUACCAUUGUUUAUGAUGCUAACAAUUAUGAUGGUGCAAUAGCACACUCAGUGACUCAUCAGCUCCCGCCUUCCAGAGGCACUCAGCUCUCACAUACGCGAGUUUCUGAUCCAGCAGCUCUGGGAUGAGGCCCAGGAAUCUGAAUUUCUAGGGGCUUCUCAGAUGAGGAUGAAGUUGUCGAUGUGGAGAACAUACUUUGAAAACCAUUGAGAAGAUGCCGAUCCUGCCAAUGCCAGCAGUCCUACUCUGCUGCUUCUCCACCCUAAACAUCGUAUUUUUUAAAGAGAAUCAGUUUGAUGAAUGACAUGUUAUUAGCAUUCUUGAUAUUCCUAACUACUAAUUCUUUCAGAGUACCUGCAUGUCUGGAUCCAGCCGUGACUACCAACUAAUAAAUAAUAAAGCCACUAGUUUCCUCUCUUCCUCUCUCCUACAUUCCCUACAUGGCAUUGAUCCUAAAAUGGCUACCUUCACAUCACCCAGGGAAAAAAAGGAAUUUAGGCACAAACAUAAGAAAACAUUUGAUAAAAAUAUUACUUUUGUAAUUUAGUAACCUAGUGAGAUAGAAAAACAUAUUUUAUCUGUUUCAAAAGUUGAAUUUCAUCAGCGUAUGGCAUAUGCUUCAUUAUACUGGUUAGUGAUGUCUGUUACAAACAAGGUUCCCAAAUGCCAUGCCAGCUUGCAUAGUUCUGAGAAAGAGGUCCAAAUAUAUUCCAUUGCAUUUCCCAAUUAAAAUUGUUCAUUUUGGAGUGAAGUUGUAAGAAUGAUUGUCCAGGCAGCCCACUCUUUUAUUUAUAGUCCUUUCAAAUUAAAUCUGAAGGCAUUUCACUGAUGAUUUGAUUCUGAUUUUUUUUUUAUGUUUCUCACAUUCAAUAAAUGUCAAAUUGCUGG